GGGCCGGUAGCUCAGCCUGGAAGAGUGCCCCCUUGGCGCGGGGGAGGUCCCGGGUUCAAAUCCCGGCCGGUCCACCA
rnacentral:tRNA from 1 species